rnacentral:rRNA from 1 species
AAUUACCCACUCCCAGCACGGGGAGGUAGUGACGAAAAAUAACGAUACGGGACUCAUCCGAGGCCCCGUAAUCGGAAUGAGUACACUUUAAAACUUUUCCCGAGGAUCAAUUGGAGGGUAAGUCUGGUGCCAGCAGCCGCGGUAAUUCCAGCUCCAAUAGCGUAUAUUAAAGUUGUUGCGGUUAAAAAGCUCGUAGUCGAAUCUGUGUCCCGCGCCGCUGGUUCAUCGCUCGCGGUGUUCAACUGGCGUGUCUCGCGGGACGUCCUGCCGGUGGGCGCUCGUCCGUUUCGGCGGUCGUGGCCCAACUCGCUUCCGUCUCGCGCGGUUGUGAAUCCCAUCGCGGUGCUCUUUAUUGAGUGUCGAGGUGGGCCGGCACGUUUACUUUGAACAAAUUAGAGUGCUUAAAGCAGGCCAAUUUUGCCUGAAUAUUGUGUGCAUGGAAUAAUGAAAUAGGACCUCGGUUCUAUUUUGUUGGUUUUCGGAACCCCGAGGUAAUGAUUAAUAGGAACGGAUGGGGGCAUUCGUAUUGCGACGUUAGAGGUGAAAUUCUUGGAUCGUCGCAAGACGGACAGAAGCGAAAGCAUUUGCCAAAAACGCUUUCAUUGAUCAAGAACGAAAGUUAGAGGUUCGAAGGCGAUCAGAUACCGCCCUAGUUCUAACCAUAAACGAUGCCAGCUAGCGAUCCGCCGACGUUCCUCCGAUGACUCGGCGGGCAGCUUCCGGGAAACCAAAGCUUUUGGGUUCCGGGGGAAGUAUGGUUGCAAAGCUGAAACUUAAAGGAAUUGACGGAAGGGCACCACCAGGAGUGGAGCCUGCGGCUUAAUUUGACUCAACACGGGACACCUCACCAGGCCCGGACACCGGAAGGAUUGACAGAUUGAGAGCUCUUUCUUGAUUCGGUGGGUGGUGGUGCAUGGCCGU